rnacentral:rRNA from 1 species
UCCCAGACUCCUACGGGAGGCAGCAGUGGGGGAUAUUGCACAAUGGGGGGAACCCUGAUGCAGCGACGCCGCGUGGGUGAAGGAGCGUUUCGGCGCGUAAAGCCCUAUCGGCAGGGAAGAAGAUGACGGUACCUGACCAAGAAGCCCCGGCUAACUACGUGCCAGCAGCCGCGGGAAUACGUAGGGGGCAAGCGUUAUCCGGAUUUACUGGGUGUAAAGGGGGCGCAGACGGCAAUGCAAGCCAGGAGUGAAAGCCCGGGGCCCAACCCCGGGACUGCUCUUGGAACUGCAUGGCUGGAGUACAGGAGGGGCAGGCGGAAUUCCUAGUGUAGCGGUGAAAUGCGCAGAUAUCAGGAAGAACACCGGUGGCGUAGGCGGCUUACUGGACGGCAACUGACGCUGAGGCUCGAAAGCGUGGGGAGCAAACAGGAUUAGAUACCCUAGUAUU